CUCUGACAUGCUCAAUGGCUGAAAUUCUUGAAGAGCAGAUUGAUGGAGUGAGAUACUUUAGAUUCAAAGUCGUUUCAUGCGGUACAGUAUGCUUGGCCUCUGGAUCGGAGCAGAUACGCUGUUGUCUGGUCAGACAAUACCCUGAAGUGAGAUGGAUCUAUGUUAAUCGCCAAACCUAACAGCACUGACAGUGAGGAGAAUGAAGACCCCUCAGAGCGCCAAGAGUUCUUCAUCUGCGCUCGGGAGAGUGAGUGAAAGGGAGAAAGCGUGCUGUGUAUUUACUCAGAAGAAAAAAAAGAGCUAAGAAUGAUGAACAUUAAGGGCCUGCCGUGAAGAUACAGCGGCUCAAAGGGGGAACGGCUUCGCUCUGCAGUCUGGGGCCUCCUAACAAGGUAUCUGUGUAUCUAAUAUUCAACAUGUGUUUUAAUGUUUCCACUGGAGGUCUUCGUAAAAAUAAUUUUUUCCUCAUCAAAACACAAACUUGCGAAAGUGAAAACAGGAGAGGAGCAAAAACAAAGGUCUGACUGUAAAACCCUGAAAACUUCCAGCUCAGUAUUCGCUCCUUUAAAUCAAAGUGCCGCCAUUGAGACCAAACAGUGAGUCAGACACUGGAGGUAACACAAUUUCCAUGCAAAUUUGCCAUGCUUAAUAAAUCCAAGUUGUCGAAAAACCACCCUUCGCGAGUGGUGAUGGCCUCGCUCACACGCCUCCUCCUCCGAAACUGUCUUUCCUUUUCCAUGUCUCUCUCUCUCUCUCUCUCUGUUUAACAGUUGAAACUUGAAGAAAAGGUUCAAUAAAACAUUACUUUUCAUCAUUUUUUCCAUUCUUUAAUUUUCACCACAAAGCUGACAUGUUUUAAGAGGUGCAACCUAAUAUUGCCUGAACUCCAGGACCCACCACAAAGAUCUCUGGGUAACAGCAAGGGGAGGAAGUGCACGGACAGGAAGACGGGCGUGUAUGGAAAAGCACACUCCACUUGGCUGCAGCAGCACUCCCUUAAGUAACAACAUAUGGCAGCGGAGGAAUUCUUCUGAUUGACGGUCGCAUGAACGUCACCCUGUCGCUGUGGACACGUCCAUGUUGGAGGACUGAUAAGACUAGCCGUACCUAAUUCCUUUCCAUGUUCUCAUCUUGGAGUAGGCAUCACAAUGGGUAUGAUUCAUGGGGUAAUUCUGACAGCUACUGACUUGGCUCCCGCUCACAUUUGGGAAGAAUGUGACCUCACAAUACUGUUCUUUCAAAGGCCUAUCCCUGUCUGUUCUUCUCCCAGACCCGGCCUGAAGCACGCCUCUGUUCCUGAAGAGAGGGAAGUGGGGAGAAAUCGAGGGAUAGAAAUAGUGGAGAAAGUGAAAAUGUGUGUGUGUCUUUCCCAAAUUGCCAGCAAGCAUGGACAGCAUUAUUGUUCUCGCUCACUGACUGUAUAUGACAAAGGUCUACAUAUAACAGACCUCAUCUGUACAGCUGCAUCCCAAAUCAGAAAUAACCAUUACAAUUAAGAGAAUAGUGUUUGUGCAAAAUCUAUAAUUUAAGAAUUGGGGCUUUGAAUUGAAGUGUGAUUAUAUAUUUGUAGUUGAAUUUAAAUAUUUUGACCCUGUAAAUUAGCCAUAUACAAACCAUAAAAUAGCCAGUCUCUAAACAUUGGUCUCAAUCUCAGUCAUAAAUUCAUAGUUUGUAGAGAGCCCCAGCACUGGAUCUUCACAUCCAGUUGAAGUCAUGGAGCGUCUGCUAAUGGUCUGAGUUGAAUCAAGCGUAUUCAAUAUCACAGCCAAAUAGGGCACAAUGUACUGUUCAUAUUAAGGAAUUGUCCGUAUUAAUUUCUCCAUAUUCUCAAUAUUCCAUAUUGAUUUUUGUGUGAGAGAAAGAGAGAAGGCAAGAGGAGAAGAGAUGCUGUUGACUUUGCUCAUCAUGGGCCACCAACCUACUCACCACAAGCCUUCACUGACGAUCUGGGCUCCUAGACGUCCGUUGAGGGUGGAAGAAUUUGACAUUGUUGGAAGUCUCAAAAAAGCAUGUCGGUUUUUCAGAAGUUAUGAUUUCAAGAUCUGCCAAUUCAUUCUUAUCUGGGCCAAGAAUGAAUGUUUGAUAUCUGGAUAUCUUUUGCUUGAGAUACACUAUGUUGCUUGGAGUUACAGCAUAUCUGAUUACUGGUGGUAAUGACAGCCUUGAAACUGAUGUUUGGAUGCUUUGUGAAAUAAAAUAAAAGCUGUCCAG
ensembl:lncRNA